rnacentral:rRNA from 1 species
CCUACGGGAGGCAGCAGUGGGGAAUAUUGCACAAUGGGGGAAACCCUGAUGCAGCGACGCCGCGUGAGCGAAGAAGUAUUUCGGUAUGUAAAGCUCUAUCAGCAGGGAAGAAAAACUGACCUUACGGUCAGCAGACGGUACCUGACUAAGUAGCCCCGGCUAACUACGUGCCAGCAGCCGCGGUAAUACGUAGGUUUCAAGCGCUAUCCGGAUUGACGGGGUGUAAAGGGAGCGUAGGCGGCAGCGCAAGUCUGAAGUGAAAUGCCAUGGCUUAACCAUGGAACUGCAUUGGAAAGUGUGCAGCUGGAGUGCAGGAGAGGCAAGCGGAAUUCCUAGUGUAGCGGUGAAAUGCGUAGAUAUUAGGAGGAACACCAGUGGCGAAGGCGGCUUACUGGACUGUAACUGACGUUGAGGCUCGAAAGCGUGGGGAGCAAACAGGAUUAGAUACCCUUGUAGUC